AUGUCAGGUACAACAGAGACAGCUGUUUGUCCCCCAGUAUCCUUCAGACAAAGCCAUAUAUGAUUGAAGGUUAUCAGUACUGUGCUUUUGGAGGAUUCAGAAGAAGUUAUAUCUGAUUGGGAGAUUGAAAAGGAUUGGCCUGAAGGAGAGGUGGUUUUUGAACUGCAUCUUAAAGGAUGAGGAAACUGAGGCUGAGAGGGUAGAGAACUUUGCCUGAGGUCACUCAGCAGGGACCCACCCAUCACAGUAAAUGCCAGCACUGCUGAUGCCAAAACAAUGUUAUUUGUAGGCCCUCGGAAUUUGUGACCUGAAGGAAGAAGAGCAGGGCCGUGGGAAGUAUGUAACCAGUGUCAUGCCCCUGGUCCCAAGGAAGCAGUGGCUUGGUAAAGAGGGGACCCCCGUCAAUAACUCCCUGUAAUUACUGGGCACCCACUCUGAGCUCCUCAGUGGAAUCCUAAGGUUAAUAAGACUGUCUCUAGCCACUGGGGCUCCCAGCCUGGAGUGAGGUAAGAGGAGUGGAGCCGGCUGGGGAGGGAGACGAACACAUACACAGAAGAUUCAGACACACUUGCAAUGUAUUGCUGGGGAUUCUCCAGCAUUGGCAUGAUGGAGAGGGUGGAGAAUCAUUUGACCGCCUCCGCCUAGGAUUGCAGAGUUCAGCUGGCCAUCAUCCACCAGCCGGGGGACUGUGCACAUCAGUUAACCUCUCCUCUCAGGCCUUGAAAAGCACCAGGCUUAGUACACGUUUGUUAAAUGAAUGCACUGCAGUUUUUUUGCUUGUUAAAGGCAGGUAAUAAUAAUGAUAUUGCUGACUAAGGGCUCCCAUCCACUCCCAGUGAGCCCGGUGCCCCCCCGGGCCUCCUCAGUGAGCUGAGGAGGCUCAGCAGUGCCUGCACGUCCCCUCGCCACAAUGUCAUGUGCCACCUCUUCAAAGGAGGGAUGUACCAGCUAGUGGACGUGACCUUGACUGCAAAGGGCGGCACGCAGCUGAUGUAAUGGUCGCUUAAGUGUUCACAAAUGCCUGAACACCCUGUCCUACCUGGUCCUACCUGGAUGCUGGCCUCAGUAAGCUCCUGGGCUCAUUGAAGAUGAACCUAGCAGUAGUAUUUACACCACUUGUUGUGUGCCCACUGUGGGCCCGGCGCCAUGCCGAGUGCUCUAUGGAUGUGAGAUGAGAACACUGAAGCAGUUUUUUCUAAAGAUAGCUGCCUGGCACAGUGGCUCACAUCUGUAGUCCCAGCAUUUGGGGAGGCCAAGGCAGGUGGAUCACUUGAGGCCAGGAAUUCAAGACCAGCAUGGCCAACAUGUGCUGGGAGAGAAAAGCAUACGACAUAGACAGGGAGGUCAAGCUCCACCACGCAGAUGAGGUGCAGGCCACCAGUCUUCCUCUGCCACAUCUCUUUCUGAAAAGCCACAGGGUGCCUCAGGCUUGGAGCAUCCCGGAGCCAGUUACAACCCAAGACUUCAGCCUUCUGGAAGGUGUUGGGUCAGCCACCCUGAAGGACGAUCCUGCCCAAGUGACAUGCUUUGCUCUUCCUUCUCACCCAGGACUUCACAUUCACCCUUGCAAUCCAUGUGGGGACACUGUUGGAUAGGAGGCGUGGUCCCAGCGUGGUCUCCCUGUCUGGGCCUCUGCCUAUGCCAAAUGUUUGCCUUACGCUGCACACUCAAGAGGUUCCAUGUAUACAGAUGGGAAUUCCAGAGCUACAGAAAAGGCAGCAAGCACCAUGAUUUAAGCUAACCAGUGUGGAUUCACACCUUCCUCUCUCUCUAUCAGUGGCAGAACUACCAGCUAGAGUAAGAAGUGGUUGAUCCAGGACCUAAACAUUCUGGAAACUCUUGCCCACUUCUGGGAGAAAUGACCCAAUCCAUAGUACUAAGCACACCUUAACUUUCGUAGGACGCAGGCAAGUUGUCAUACCGUGUGCCUAAAUAUAGAAAAAUGAUCCACUGGACUAAUAAAGUGUUAAAUAAAA
ensembl:lncRNA LINC02395 long intergenic non-protein coding RNA 2395